rnacentral:rRNA from 1 species
CCUACGGGAGACAGCAGUCGAGAAUCAUUCACAAUGGGGGAAACCCUGAUGGUGCGACGCCGCGUGGGGGAAUGAAGGUCUUCGGAUUGUAAACCCCUGUCAUGUGGGAGCAAAUUAAAAAGAUAGUACCACAAGAGGAAGAGACGGCUAACUCUGUGCCAGCAGCCGCGGUAAUACAGAGGUCUCAAGCGUUGUUCGGAAUCACUGGGCGUAAGGCGUGCGUAGGCUGUUUCGUAAGUCGUGUGUGAAAGGCGCGGGCUCAACCCGCGGACGGCACAUGAUACUGCGAGACUAGAGUAAUGGAGGGGGAACCGGAAGUCUCGGUGUAGCAGUGAAAUGCGUAGAUAUCGAGAGGAACACUCGUGGCGAAGGCGGGUUCCUGGACAUUAACUGACGCUGAGGCACGAAGGCCAGGGGAGCGAAAGGGAUUAGAUACCCCUGUAGUC